ACCCGCUGAACUUAAGCAUAUCAAUAAGCGGAGGAAAAGAAACCAACAGGGAUUGCCCUAGUAACGGCGAGUGAAGCGGCAACAGCUCAAAUUUGAAGUCUGGCUCUUUUAGAGUCCGAGUUGUAAUUUGCAGAGGGCGCUUUGGCUUUGGCAGCGGUCCAAGUUCCUUGGAACAGGACGUCACAGAGGGUGAGAAUCCCGUACGUGGUCGCUGGCUAUUGCCGUGUAAAGCCCCUUCGACAAGUCGAGUUGUUUGGGAAUGCAGCUCUAAAUGGGAGGUACAUUUCUUCUAAAGCUAAAUAUUGGCCAGAGACCGAUAGCGCACAAGUAGAGUGAUCGAAAGAUGAAAAGCACUUUGGAAAGAGAGUCAAACAGCACGUGAAAUUGUUGAAAGGGAAGCGCUUGCAGCCAGACUUGCUUACAGUUGCUCAUCCGGGCUUUUGCCCGGUGCACUCUUCUGUAGGCAGGCCAGCAUCAGUUUGGGCGGUAGGAUAAAGGUCUCUGUCACGUACCUCUCUUCGGGGAGGCCUUAUAGGGGAGACGACAUACUACCAGCCUGGACUGAGGUCCGCGCAUCUGCUAGGAUGCUGGCGUAAUGGCUGU
rnacentral:rRNA from 1 species